CCUCCCAGUUUUUCCGUGUUUUUAAUUUUUAUUUAAAAAAAUAAAUAAAUAAAAUUAACAAUAAUCACAUAUUCUAAGUUAAUUGUGUGUUUUGUAACAAAAAUAAAUCAUAUAUAUAUAUAUAUAUAUCUAUAUUGGUCUCUGCCGGUCUCUGCCGAUCUCUGCCGGUCUCUGCCGAGCGGUGGAGGCUGUGUGCGGUUUUUCAAUCGCCCAAACAGGACGAGACCAGCUGUCCAAUUGCUGACAAGAAUAUCAAAGGGUAGGAAUGGGAAUGUAUCCAAUCAGCGUCAACGUUGUUUCAGAACGUUUCAGAAGCAUGAUGGGCGAUGGAGCUACCGCCAAAGGUUUCGUUGGUGUUCGGUAGAACUCGGCAGAGUCAUUUUGGGUCGUGACGCAGAUGUAACAUGGACGCCGCCAGUGACUGCAACCAGAUCUCAGCAGCCACUGAAUUCAGUUCGGUCUCUUCUCCAGUAUCCGUUCGAGAGGAGAACUAUGGUGGAAAAACUUAAUGUCAAAGAGCUUGGACCAGAUCAGCCCGACGUAAAGAUAAGCCAGCAGUACAAGGAGAGAGAUAAGGCAUGGAUGAGUCAGGAGUUACGGACAUGAAACAUUUUUCUGAGAAGGUGAAGAAACACGAGUCAUCCCGUGCACACAUGGACAACAACCAAGCCCCCACAAUGCCGCUCAGAAAAUGGUCCCAACCCGGAAGUAAGAAAAAUUGCAGUUCCACCCUCAUCCGCUGGGGGCUGGUACCAGAAGCGAGCAAAUCCUCAUUGACUCCCAUGUUAAAAAUGCCAUUUUCACAGCAGAAAUAAACAUGUUUACAGCCUGGUUCAAAAAAUGGUUUUUUGUCUAAAUUAUCUAGUUUAUACUCAUGACAACUCUGAGGGGGGUGAAUUUUUUUCUCACUCUUCUGUUUAAGUGUAUUGAAAGCCUAAAAUUCUGUAUAAUUAAUGAGCAUCCGACACACGUGACCGCCGCCUCAGACCCACGUGACCACAGAGCUAGCUCCGUGGAAAGGCCUCAGUACAGCCUCGGUCUCUCCUGGAAACUGUUUCGGGAUUUUGAGUCUCUGUGCUUGUGAAUUCUGUUUUGGAUAAUAUUGGUGCAAUUGUUGGACAAAAUGACUUGCUGUGGUAUUAAUUGCACUAAUAGAGCGUCCAAGGAGUCUCCACUUCAUUUUUUUCGGGAAGGACCUGAUUGGUGUCCAGAACCUGCUGAAGAAGCACGAGGCUCUGCAGGCUGAGAUCACAGGUCAUGAACCUCGCAUCAAGGCUGUCACCCAGAAAGGAGAGACCAUAAUGGAGGAAGGUAGAGCAGGUCUGGUCCUGACAUGUUUCUGAGGUGUCUGCAGGUUCUGGCUCACUUUGUUUGGGUCCAGGUCACUUCGCUGGUUCAGAACCCUCGGCCCGUCAGAACAUUCUUAUCCACCACGUUCUAACACCAGACCUGUUAACCCGACAGCAACAAGUGGCUCCAACUGACGAUGAGACCGGGAAGGAGCUGGUUCUGGCUCUGUACGACUACCAGGAGAAGAGUCCUGGAGAGGUCACCAUGAAGAAGGGUGACAUCCUCACGCUGCUCAA